rnacentral:ncRNA from 1 species
GAAAGUUUAAGUUUAACUUAAAUCUUUGGUAUGAGAUUGAUUUACAUGUAAAUUUAAGUGGGAAAGGAUUUAAAUUUUAAUAUAAAUUUGAAAAUUGUAUUAAUCGUAGUAAUUAGUACUAAAUUUAAAGUAAAUUUUGAUUUGGCAAUUUUUAAAAAUUUUGAUUUAAUUUGUGCCAGCAGUCGCGGUUAUACAGAUAAAAUUAUUGAAGAUUUUUUAAAUUUAAUUAAUUGUUGAUUUAAUGUUAAAAAUUAGGGUUUUUGAGUGAAAUUUUAAUUUUAUUUAAGACAUUGAUUUUGUAGAUGAGGUUAAGAAAUUUUUUUUAUAAACUAGGAUUAGAUACCCUAUUAUUGGAUAUGUACAAAGUGAAGUUUAAGUUAGUAUUAGAUAAGUUCUUGAAAAUUAAAAAUUUUGGCGGUAUUUUAGUCUUUUCAGAGGAACCUGUUCUGUAAUUGAUAUUCCACGAUAUAUUUAACUUUUAUUAUAAUUUUCAUAUCGUUGUAAGAAAAUAUUUUUUAAGAAUUAGAAUAUUAAGGAUGUAUAUAAUAAUAUAAAUCAAAUCAAGAUGUAGUUUAUAUAAAAGGAGAAAUGGGUUACAGUAGAAAUAUUUAGAUGGAUAAAUAGGUUAAAAUUAUUUUAAAAUUGGAUUUGAAAGUAAUUUUUUUAAAUUAAAAAAGAUGGCUUUAGCUCUAAAAUAUGUACAUAUUGCCCGUCGCUUUCAUUAUAAAAUGAAAUAAGUCGUAACAAAGUAGAGGUACUGGAAGGUGUUUCUAGAAAGC